AUAGGUCUGUAGAUUAGGGAGAUGAAACUUCACGAAGGGGAAGUUCUCGAAAUCAAUAAGCCAUUUUGUUAUUUCAUCUUAUGCUAUUCAUAUUUUGCUUAUCAAUCAAAGAACUUUGGGAAAUGUAUCAGAUCUCACGUCCUCAUUAGGAAUACAUAUCCUAGUCAAAGAAGUUUUGGACAAUGAAAAUAGUAUUUGUAUUUUUGGG
rnacentral:lncRNA from 1 species